UACGAAGGGGGCUAGCGUUGUUCGGAAUUACUGGGCGUAAAGCGCACGUAGGCGGGUUUGUAAGUAGAGGGUGAAAUCCCAGAGCUCAACUCUGGAACUGCCUUCUAGACUGCAAGCCUGGAGGUCAGGAGAGGCGAGUGGAAUACCGAGUGUAGAGGUGAAAUUCGUAGAUAUCUGGAGGAACAUCAGUGGCGAAGGCGGCCCCUGGAUCAAUACUGACGCUGAGGUGCGAAAGCGUGGGGA
rnacentral:rRNA from 1 species